rnacentral:tRNA from 1 species
GGGGGGGAGAAACUCAACGGUUUGAGUGUUAGUCUGUCGCAUUAAAAGUUGCGGGUUCAAAUCCCGUCUCUCUCGC